rnacentral:rRNA from 1 species
GAUGAACGCUGGCGGCGUGCCUAAUACAUGCAAGUCGAGCGAACGGACGAGAAGCUUGCUUCUCUGAUGUUAGCGGCGGACGGGUGAGUAACACGUGGAUAACCUACCUAUAAGACUGGGAUAACUUCGGGAAACCGGAUCUAAUACCGGAUAAUAUUUUGAACCGCAUGGUUCAAAAGUGAAAGACGGUCUUGCUGUCACUUAUAGAUGGAUCCGCGCUGCAUUAGCUAGUUGGUAAGGUAACGGCUUACCAAGGCAACGAUGCAUAGCCGACCUGAGAGGGUGAUCGGCCACCCUGGAACUGAGACACGGUACAGACUCCUACGGGAGGCAGCAGUAGGGAAUCUUCCGCAAUGGGCGAAAGCCUGACGGAGCAACGCCGAGUGAGUGAUGAAGGUCUUCGGAUCGUAAAACUCUGUUAUUAGGGAAGAACAUAUGUGUAAGUAACUGUGAACAUCUUGACGGUACCUAAUCAGAAAGCCACGGCUAACUACGUG